rnacentral:rRNA from 1 species
GACGAACGCUGGCGGCGUGCUUAACACAUGCAAGUCGAACGGAAAGGCCCUGCUUUUGUGGGGUGCUCGAGUGGCGAACGGGUGAGUAACACGUGAGUAACCUGCCCUUGACUUUGGGAUAACUUCAGGAAACUGGGGCUAAUACCGGAUAGGAGCUCCUGCUGCAUGGUGGGGGUUGGAAAGUUUCGGCGGUUGGGGAUGGACUCGCGGCUUAUCAGCUUGUUGGUGGGGUAGUGUCUUACCAAGGCUUUGACGGGUAGCCGGCCUGAGAGGGUGACCGGCAACAUUGGGACUGAGAUACGGCCAAGACUCCUACGGGGGGAAGAGGUGGGGAAUAUUGCACAAUGGGCGGAAGCUUGAUGCAGCAACGCCGCGUGCGGGAUGACGGCCUUCGGGUUGUAAACCGCUUUCGCCUGUGACGAAGCGUGAGUGACGGUAAUGGGUAAAGAAGCACCGGCUAACUACGU